CGGAGGACCGAGUGCCGCUCAC
rnacentral:siRNA from 1 species